CCCGCUGAACUUAAGCAUAUCAAUAAGCGGAGGAAAAGAAACUAACAAGGAUUCCCCUAGUAACGGCGAGUGAAGCGGGAAGAGCUCAAAUUUAAAAUCUGGCGUGCUUGCCGAUUCGAGUAGUAGUGGGGAGAAACGUUUUCCAUGCAAGCCGAGGCACUAGUCUCCUUGGAACGAGAGCAUCAUAGAGGGUGAGAAUCCCGUCCAUGGCACUCAAGUGUGCUCUUGUCUGAUACCUCUCCCAACAAGCCGAGUGGUUGGGAAUGCAGCUUAAAAGGGGUGGUGAAUCUCAUCUAUAGCUAAAUAUUGGCGAGAGACCGAUAGCGAACAAGUACCGUGAGGGAAAGAUGAAAAGAACUUUGAAAAGAGAGUUAGAGAGUACGUGAAAUUGUUGAAAGGGAACCGCUUGAAGCCAGUCUCGCUUACUUGUGAUCAGUCUUAGCUUCUGCUUGGAUGCUCUCUCAGGUUAUGCACGACAACGUCAGUUUGAGAGAGGAGAAAAAAGCUUGAGAGGUGCGGCCUUCGGGCUGUUAGCCUCCUGCUGUAUUGCUUCUAGGAGAAAGAGGCUGGCAGCAAAACUGCGGGCAGGUUGGCGUAUGAGGUGAUCCAGUAUCAAGAGCAGCUGGCUGAGUUGGUUCUGCCUAGCUUCGCCGUGAGCUUGGCUUCUAAUGUGCUUAGGACGUUGGCAUAAUGGCUUUAAGCGACCCGUCUUGAAACACGG
rnacentral:rRNA from 1 species